rnacentral:rRNA from 1 species
GACGAACGCUGGCGGCAGGCCUAACACAUGCAAGUCGAACGAAGUCUUCGGACUUAGUGGCGGACGGGUGAGUAACACGUGGGAACGUGCCUUUAGGUUCGGAAUAACUCAGGGAAACUUGUGCUAAUACCGAAUGUGCCCCUCGGGGGAAAGAUUUAUCGCCUUUAGAGCGGCCCGCGUCUGAUUAGCUAGUUGGUGAGGUAAAGGCUCACCAAGGCGACGAUCAGUAGCUGGUCUGAGAGGAUGAUCAGCCACAUUGGGACUGAGACACGGCCCGAACUCCUACGGGAGGCAGCAGUGGGGAAUCUUGCGCAAUGGGCGAAAGCCUGACGCAGCCAUGCCGCGUGAAUGAUGAAGGUCUUAGGAUUGUAAAAUUCUUUCACCGGGGACGAUAAUGACGGUACCCGGAGAAGAAGCCCCGGCUAACUUCGUGCCAGCAGCCGCGGUAAAAC